rnacentral:tRNA from 1 species
UGGGAUGUAGCUCAGUGGUAGAGUAUGUGCUUAGCAUGCAUGAGAGCCUGGGUUCAACCCUAGCACCAA